GAGGCUAAAAUGCUUGAAUAAUUAGUGCUUGAAAAUAAGUUUCUAAAUCUACAGAAGGUUCAACAUGGUAGAUUUCAGCGACAGAAGUGCUUUGAAUGUACAAAAAACUAAACUGAUAAAAAUUAGGGAAUCUCACAAGUCAUAUCUGCAUUGGAUGAUAUCAUAUCCUGAUAUGCGUUCCACACAAUAUUGGCAUCUUGGACAAUGUGACCAUUUAGUUUUUUUUUCAUUACAGAACAGAAGAGAACAUCGUUUCUUUUUGCGACCGUACUCCUCGCUUCAUUGCAACUAUAUCAAGCAUGCCAUCGACAUUCACAAUUGAAACAGAAUAUUCCCUUCCAAAUUGGACAAAUAGCGUCAGUUUCUUCUUAAUGGACCUAACAUAUUUAUAUAUGUCAAUAUGCAGUCUACAAUAGUUUGCAAACUAAAUUAAAUUCUGCAUUUGGAAUUCAAAUUUGAACUCCUGCAACAACUGAAAAGAGUCCAGACCAACAGCCAAAAAAUAAUGCAAUGGGCCAUCUUAUCAACAAAAAACUCAAAUAGGCCCACAAGAAAAAUUACUAACAAUAUCAAAAUAACAAAUAAAAUCUUACCAUUAAAGUAUCACGUCAACUACUAAAAUCUUAACAAACAAACCUAUGAACCGACCUUAAGAGUUUAAUUGCCUUUAAAAAACAACUAAAUAAAGAAACAUAAUAAUAGUAAACUCUAGCUAAUAACACCACGACACUUAGCAUUAUAAAUACAUGACAUGCGUACAACUAAACCCUAUUCUAUAUUCUACAUACUUCAAUCUCCUUCCUUCUGCUUCUACUUCAGAGAAAAACAAAGGUAUGUCAAUUUAUUAAUGUCUAAACUAAUUAGCUUAUAAAAGUAUGCAGGUACACUUUUCUAAUGGUUUGCUUUUAAUUAUUCCAGCUAUUUACUGUUUGAAUUUAAGGAGUUCGAUUUCUAAAAGAAAAAAAACCCUAAUGUAACCAGUUUAAGGUUUUGGUUUACUACGUUGUUGUUGUACAACUUCGUCUUCCUCUUUACUAAUAUAUAUGACUGCUAUAUGAACAUAGGGAAUAGCUAUGGAUAAAUACAACACAAUCAGUGAGAUUGAUGAAAACAAAAGGUCAUGGAAGCUAAAAGGUAUGGUCAUACGUAUGUGGCCAACUUUUGAAGAAGAAAAAAUAACGGAAAAAAUUGUAAAGAAAGUUGUCGCACUGGAUAUCAUUGUAAUGGACGAAAAGGUAUGAUUGUUUUUACAUAUAUUCACCUCACCUAAACAAAUGCCUAACCAUUAUUUAAUAUCAGGGAGGUAACGCAAUCGAAAAGUCAUUAAAUUAUUGUUUUUUAACUAAUAACUUAUAUGUUUUUGGUUUAUUUCAAUUGGAAAUUCAGGGAAGAGAAAUUGAAGGUAACAUUAUGGGGAGAAAUGAAGGAUAUCUUUGACACUGAAAAACUGAAGACUAUGGUGAAUGAAAAACCAGUAGUAGUGAUAUCACUAGCAAAAGUUCGUAAAUUUCAGGGUAAUUACCUUAACUUUUUAAAUAUAUGAAAAUACUCUAUAUAUAAUAAUGAUUUUGUUAUCCUAUACAAAUAAAAAUUAUUUCAUAUUCUAUAAAACAGGAGCCCAGUUGUCCACUACAACCGGAACUAUGCUUUAUUUAAAUCCAGAUAUUCCAGAAGUUAUACAAAUGAAGAACAGGUAAAACUAUCUCACAAAUGUUUACAUACUCAACUUAAUAACAUGAUUUACUACUUAUAACCAAUUAUAAUCAGAUCCUUUAUGAUGUGUUUUACAUUGAUCAACCAAGUGAACAUCACGUUGAAAAUAGGAGAUUUUUCAAGAUUCAAAAAAGGCAACCUACUGGAUGUGCAAAAAUCUAUCAACCAAGAAACUCAUGAGGUACAUUUACUUCCCUUCAUUCUUAAGCAUAUUCAAAUUUCAUAUUAAUAUUUAUCUUGCAAAAAUCUAUUUUCAUAAAAAAAAUAAAUAUACAGGACUACAUCACAUGUUCAGCAAAAAUAGUUAAAGUUAAUGCAUCGCCAGAAUGGUACUACUUCGCUUGCAAAACUUGCAAGACAAAGGCGGAAGAAGUUCUCGAAGCAUAUCAAUGCUAUUGUGGAAUAAUUGAAGAAUCAAAUACAAUGCUACAGUAAGUAUAAAACCCUUUUUUUACUAAACACAAUGACAUAUAUCAUCUAAACAUGCAAUCUUAUGUGUGCUAAAUGUUUCAUUGUCAAAAAAUAUAUGUAUAAAAAAACAGGUAUAAGAUACAAAUCGAAAUAUCGGAUGGAAUAGGAAAUGCAAAAAUUACAGUUUUUGGUGAAAAAGCGAAAAAACUAAUGAAGGAUAAUACAGUAGCUGCAUUGCUAAGUAUGAAAGAAAAAGGAGAGGACAUCGUGAGAAACUACAUUCAAGCAAUCGAGAAUACUGAAGCAAUUUUUGACAUAAAGAUAACUGAAAAGAACAGGCAAUUUCCAAAAGGAUAUCUUACAUGCACAAACAUCUCAUUCGAAGGACAAGUAAAAGAAGGUACAACAAAAGACAACAUACAAAAGGUAAGACCUCAACCCACCCACACAAAAAAUCAAAUAUAUAUAUAUAGUCAAUAAGAUUAAAAUAUAAAAUUAUUUUUUUUUAUUAUUUAAUAUAUUGCAGGAAAACUUUGUCCCACCAACACCUAAGAAACACUCUCCUGAAGAAAUAGUCGACGUUGACAAACUUCCUCAAAAAGAUUAUACUAAGAAGAUAUGCAUUAAGCAAGAACCAGAGGUAAGAAUAUUCAGACAAAGAAAAACAAUAAACAAAAUUAUAAAUCAUAAAUUAAAUUUUACACCACUAAUUUCUCUUCAUUUUUAUAUGCAGGACUCGGACUAAAGGGGAAAAUGGAAUGCACCUAAGAAACAAGCUUUGCUACUAUAAUGUCGUUUCACAACUUUAUUUAGAUUUAUCACUCUAUUUUUGUUAAUCAGAUUUUUAUAUUGUUUACUGAUGAUUUAAUAAUGGAAUUGAUUUGAAUGUCUUCCUGCUAAUUUCCAUUAGUUAUUAAAGCAUAUGGAAGAAAAAAAAUUGGACUUAAAAAGGAACAAACUUAGAAAGAGCAAAGAAUGCUAUGAAAAAAAAAUAUUACAUAGAAAAGAGCAAAGAAAUAGUCUUUACCAUUUCAAUAGUUAUCUGGAUUUCUCCUCCAUUGUAAUAGCUCGAUCAUAAUGAAAUCAAAUGGAUUCAUUCUAAAUGUUGCUCCAAUUGUUGUUCAUAAAUUAUAAUGGAUUCAAGCAGCCAUGAUGAUGAUUGAAUGGAGAUGUGAUCGAGUUAAAUGCAGACUACUAUUAAUACCUAUAAUGGAUUCAUCCAUAAGCAUCCAUGACAAGUAACUAUUCAAAUUCAUCAAUCAAUUGAUCAAUUUCUGCCAAACCUAACCCUUGC
rnacentral:lncRNA from 1 species